GGGCGCGUAGCUCAGCGGGAGAGCGCUUGCUUCACACGCAAGAGGUCGGCCCUUAUCCCGCUCCCGACA
rnacentral:tRNA from 1 species